rnacentral:lncRNA from 1 species
ACCAUGUUAGGUAAAACGUGACAGCAUCUACAGUACUUUGAGCAUGGUGCGGAUUUUUACUUACUUCGGAAUGCACAUGGAACUUACGCUAGUUGAUCUCUAAAUGUUGCGUCCGAUAUUUUCUUCAGCAGUAUCGAAUUCCUGGGAAGAUCCUUCACAACAAGUAAUGUUAAAUGGAGUGAUCAUUUCAUCCACUACCGUUAGUGGUAAUCACCUAAUCCAACAAUAAUACCAA